CGCAGUGACACGGGGUGCCCCACGGGGCUGAGAACACACCCGUCGAACCUGAUCUAGUUCGUACUAGCGAAGGGAUGUCGCGAAUGGUCGUU
rnacentral:ncRNA from 2 species